AUUGAACGCUGGCGGCGUGCCUAACACAUGCAAGUCGAGCGGUAACAGGUGUAGCAAUACAUGCUGACGAGCGGCGGACGGGUGAGUAACGCUUGGGAAUCUGCCUGUUAGUGGGGGACAACCCGGGGAAACUCGGGCUAAUACCGCAUACGCACUACGGUGGAAAGCCGGGGACCGCAAGGCCUGGCGCUAACAGAUGAGCCCAAGUCGGAUUAGCUAGUUGGUAGGAACGGCCUACCAAGGCGACGAUCCGUAACUGGUCUGAGAGGACGACCAGUCACACCGGAACUGAGACACGGUCCGGACUCCUACGGGAGGCAGCAGUGGGGAAUAUUGGACAAUGGGCGAAAGCCUGAUCCAGCGACGCCGCGUGGGUGAAGAAGGCCUGCGGGUUGUAAAGCCCUUUCGGUGGGGAAGAAAGCCUCGAGUUAAUACCUCGGGGUCUUGACGUAACCCAUAGAAGAAGCACCGGCUAACUCUGUGCCAGCCGCCGCU
rnacentral:rRNA from 1 species